UGCAAGUCCGAGCGAACAGAUAAGGAGCUUGCUCCUUUUGACGUUAGCGCCGGACGGGUGAGUAACACGUGGAUAACCUACCUAUAAGACUGGGAUAACUUCGGGAAACCGGAGCUAAUACCGGAUAAGAUUUUGAACCGCAUGGUUCAAUAGUGAAAGACGGCCUUGCUGUCACUUAUAGAUGGAUCCGCGCCGUAUUAGCUAGUUGGUAAGGUAACGGCUUACCAAGGCAACGAUACGUAGCCGACCUGAGAGGGUGAUCGGCCACACUGGAACUGAGACACGGUCCAGACUCCUACGGGAGGCAGCAGUAGGGAAUCUUCCGCAAUGGGCGAAAGCCUGACGGAGCAACGCCGCGUGAGUGAUGAAGGUCUUCGGAUCGUAAAACUCUGUUAUCAGGGAAGAACAAACGUGUAAGUAACUGUGCACGUCUUGACGGUACCUGAUCAGAAAGCCACGCCUAACUACGUGCCAGCUGCCGCGUUAAUACGUAGGUGGCAAGCGUUAUCCGGAAUUAUUGGGCGUAAAGCGCGCG
rnacentral:rRNA from 1 species